CUACGGUGCUGAAGUGACAAAUGCCCUGCUUCCAGGAAAAGCCUCUAAGCAUCAGGUAACAUCAAAUCGUACCCCAAACCGACACAGGUGGUCAGGUAGAGAAUACCAAGGCGCUUGAGAGAACUCGGGUGAAGGAACUAGGCAAAAUGGUGCCGUAACUUCGGGAGAAGGCACGCUGAUAUGUAGGUGAAGCGACUUGCUCGUGGAGCUGAAAUCAGUCGAAGAUACCAGCUGGCUGCAACUGUUUAUUAAAAACACAGCACUGUGCAAACACGAAAGUGGACGUAUACGGUGUGACGCCUGCCCGGUGCCGGAAGGUUAAUUGAUGGGGUUAGCGGUAACGCGAAGCUCUUGAUCGAAGCCCCGGUAAACGGCGGCCGUAACUAUAACGGUCCUAAGGUAGCGAAAUUCCUUGUCGGGUAAGUUCCGACCUGCACGAAUGGCGUAAUGAUGGCCAGGCUGUCUCCACCCGAGACUCAGUGAAAUUGAACUCGCUGUGAAGAUGCAGUGUACCCGCGGCAAGACGGAAAGACCCCGUGAACCUUUACUAUAGCUUGACACUGAACAUUGAGCCUUGAUGUGUAGGAUAGGUGGGAGGCUUUGAAGUGUGGACGCCAGUCUGCAUGGAGCCGACCUUGAAAUACCACCCUUUAAUGUUUGAUGUUCUAACGUUGGCCCGUAAUCCGGGUUGCGGACAGUGUCUGGUGGGUAGUUUGACUGGGGCGGUCUCCUCCUAAAGAGUAACGGAGGAGCACGAAGGUUGGCUAAUCCUGGUCGGACAUCAGGAGGUUAGUGCAAUGGCAUAAGCCAGCUUGACUGCGAGCGUGACGGCGCGAGCAGGUGCGAAAGCAGGUCAUAGUGAUCCGGUGGUUCUGAAUGGAAGGGCCAUCGCUCAACGGAUAAAAGGUACUCCGGGGAUAACAGGCUGAUACCGCCCAAGAGUUCAUAUCGACGGCGGUGUUUGGCACCUCGAUGUCGGCUCAUCACAUCCUGGGGCUGAAGUAGGUCCCAAGGGUAUGGCUGUUCGCCAUUUAAAGUGGUACGCGAGCUGGGUUUAGAACGUCGUGAGACAGUUCGGUCCCUAUCUGCCGUGGGCGCUGGAGAACUGAGGGGGGCUGCUCCUAGUACGAGAGGACCGGAGUGGACGCAUCACUGGUGUUCGGGUUGUCAUGCCAAUGGCACUGCCCGGUAGCUAAAUGCGGAAGAGAUAAGUGCUGAAAGCAUCUAAGCACGAAACUUGCCCCGAGAUGAGUUCUCCCUGAGACUUAGAGUCUCCUGAAGGAACGUUGAAGACGACGACGUUGAUAGGCCGGGUGUGUAAGCGCAGCGAUGCGUUGAGCUAACCGGUACUAAUGAACCGUGAGGCUUAACCUUACAACGCCGAAG
rnacentral:rRNA from 1 species